rnacentral:lncRNA from 1 species
AUUCGAACUACCACAAAUACCUGAUGAGAUACACACCAGGAAAAAAUGAAACCACAUCAGAGGCUAAACUCUGCCAGGUACAGAGCGUUGGAAAUUCCCCACACCCUGAAGUUUGUAUUCUUAAUUCUGGGAUCUAUCAGUCGGCACAGUUAGGAUGGAGGAGGGGACCUGACUCACACACUACACCCUGGGGACUAAUGUAAGCCACAGUCCACAUGUACGUAGUUCUGCCAUGGAAAGUUGUCCUUCCUGUGACUAUACAACUUGUGUGUUCUGAGGUUGAUUGAGUCCCCUCUGGGUUUCGAGAAAGAGGUCUCUUGGCCAUGUGUCGCCUGUGGGAUUUUGUGCAUUACGUUAGAUCAAACUACUGGUCCUGUCCUGAGUUGUUUGUGUUAGCCUUUCCCUUGCUUUCUUGUUAAGGCUUGGCCUGGGUUCAGGCUCACCCGUUGGUCCGGAUGCUGCCGCAUCUCAGCUGAUGACGAUCUGUAACCUUUACAUGGUGGGUUUGACCUCAUCGACACAGAAGUAGGUUCGGAGCAAAGAAAAGUAAAGUGCUUGCACACUCCUUCCGUGUCACUAAUCGUAGUCAUGAUAAUCAGCGAGGCGUCUUGAAUCCCUACCACAGGGCCCUUGGUACAUAUUAGCUCACUGAACUCUCAUGACCACCUGCAGAGCUGCUUCCAGUCUUGUCCAAAUUUCAGAGAAGAGGAAACCGGCCUGGGAACUCUUUCUCAGAGUUACAGGGUUAGUAACUGGCAGGACGGAAUGCAAACACAGCUUGAUGCCCACACUCUCAACCACAACACAAGUGACUUUCUUAGUCUUCCUCCCUGGGUGUUUUGACUAUAAGAAGCCGGCUGAGAGGAAGCAGCUGUUUUCUCUCCUGCUCAGACUCUACCUAACUGCCCUUGACACCUUUGCAUUUUUAUCCAUGCAGAACAGAGCUGUUUGUGUAAACUCCAGCCCCGUCCACUCAGACGAAGAGGGGGCCACCGUGAUGCACCGACGAAGGCGGAGAAAGCAUUCUCAGUUGUGUUUCUAGCCUCGAGAUGCUCUCCACACCUAAGAGUGGUACUCCGAGAUGGAAGACCGCUACUCCUCAGAUCUAUUCUCUUCCAGUCUCAGUGGCAGCUCCAUGCUCUCUGCUUUAAGAUAAUUUCUAGCUCGCCCCGUCCAAACUACAGCACCAAAGCCCAGCAUGAUACAGAAGUCCUGGUCUUUGAUAAUGAAAUGCUUUCCCCUUCAGGACCUUGCCUACCUCGAUUCUUCCUCUAAGCAUAUGCUCUGAUUAAAAAGGACACAAUUAGAGUCUUCUCCCCCUUCUCAUCAGGGUAUUAGUCUUUGCUGACCCAACGCUGACUCAUUCCGUGAUUCAUCUCCCCAGUGCUCUCGGAGGGCAAAUAGGUGUCAAGUCUGGGGGGACGAGCUUCUGUGAACGCGCUUUUUACUGGAACCUAUCCUACCUCAAAGCUCUUCUGCCAGAUUCCAUUAGGAAAUUGCAAGCAGAUGCAUAGAUCCAAGUGCCCUCUUCACUCCUCCUCAUAAUAUAUACACAUCAGAUUUCAGGGAGGGGCUGAGCUGACUGCCUCUCAUGAUUUCUGGGCACAACAGACAUGCAGGCCAAUGUGAAUCCCAAGCAUGCAGCUCCUGUGUGCAUGAAUACAUAUCACAUAUCCCCUCUCAUCAGUGAGAAACUACGGAGCUACCAGACAGGGGGAGAGCAAAGUGACAAUCGAUAUGUUGUACUUCAGAAUGUCAAGUGAAGGCCAUAACAAGAUGGGCAGCCUGCCCCAGGAAUUUGAAAAGAACAGAAAUACCUAAGGAUUGAUUAGGGGCCGGGCCAAAUUCCAGGCUUGAACUCAAUCACAAAUUAUGCUAAAAGCUCCCAAGGGAUGGCUCCAAUUGGCGAUUUUUUUUUGAGCAUGCAUUCCGUUCUUCUGAUACAGACAUCAUUCCUGCCUGGGAGAUGACUGGAGAAUUAAAAGCUGGAGCAAAAAAUGAGUUCAGGAAGGGCUGUUUUCUCAUCCGAAUGCCCUCGAUCUCCCUGAGACAUCUCCCACAGUCUUUAAAAAUGAGUGGAUUUUAUUAUUCCGCUUUGCCAUUCUGGCCCAUCAUGAAGGCCAAAGCCAGCAUUCAGAACAAUAAGAAUUAUCUCAGAUGACAAUGGCCAGGUCAGAAGACUGCACUGUGGCAGACAGACUUCCAAGCAGAACUGUACGAGGCAAGUCGAAAGGCAGGUGUGGUCAACCUUUAAGGAAAUGUCCUUAAAGGGGUUUUCCUAUUCUUUCAGGAACAUUUAGG